rnacentral:rRNA from 1 species
AUUUGAGAGUUUGAUCCUGGCUCAGGACGAACGCUGGCGGCGUGCCUAAUACAUGCAAGUUGAGCGAUGAAGAUUGGUGCUUGCACCAAUUUGAAGAGCAGCGAACGGGUGAGUAACGCGUGGGGAAUCUGCCUUUGAGCGGGGGACAACAUUUGGAAACGAAUGCUAAUACCGCAUAACAACUUUAAACAUAAGUUUUAAGUUUGAAAGAUGCAAUUGCAUCACUCAAAGAUGAUCCCGCGUUGUAUUAGCUAGUUGGUGAGGUAAAGGCUCACCAAGGCGAUGAUACAUAGCCGACCUGAGAGGGUGAUCGGCCACAUUGGGACUGAGACACGGCCCAAACUCCUACGGGAGGCAGCAGUAGGGAAUCUUCGGCAAUGGACGAAAGUCUGACCGAGCAACGCCGCGUGAGUGAAGAAGGUUUUCGGAUCGUAAAACUCUGUUGGUAGAGAAGAACGUUGGUGAGAGUGGAAAGCUCAUC